rnacentral:rRNA from 1 species
AUUGAACGCUGGCGGCAGGCCUAACACAUGCAAGUCGAGCGGAUGAAGGGAGCUUGCUCCUGGAUUCAGCGGCGGACGGGUGAGUAAUGCCUAGGAAUCUGACUGGUAGUGGGGGAUAACGUCCGGAAACGGGCGCUAAUACCGCAUACGUCCUGAGGGAGAAAGUGGGGGAUCUUCGGACCUCACGCUAUCAGAUGAGCCUAGGUCGGAUUAGCUAGUUGGUGGGGUAAAGGCCUACCAAGGCGACGAUCCGUAACUGGUCUGAGAGGAUGAUCAGUCACACUGGAACUGAGACACGGUCCAGACUCCUACGGGAGGCAGCAGUGGGGAAUAUUGGACAAUGGGCGAAAGCCUGAUCCAGCCAUGCCGCGUGUGUGGAGAAGGUCUUCGGAUUGUAAAGCACUUUAAGUUGGGAGGAAGGGCAGUAAGUUAAUACCUUGCUGUUUUGACGUUACCAACAGAAUAAGCACCGGCUAACUUCGUG